UUUAAGCAUAACUGCUUUGAUAAUAUCAUAAAAAGGACAAGCUACCUCUUCAUAAUGUUUAAUUUUUAUGUGUAUUUAAAUUUAAAUUUCCAAUGUGCGUAUCCAUGAACUGGACAUGUUAAUAAUGUGCAAAAAUUGGGUCAAUUUAAUCACCAACCACUUAGUUGUCUAACCAAUAUAUUCUAAUGCAAUCUGUUUCAGGUUCUCUAUCAUACCCAUGUAGGUCUGAGAAAUGUGAGAGCAACAUCAAUUCUUAGAAUUACAAGUUUCCAAGUCAGUGAAAUGUCAGCCUUCCAACCUUCUGAUGAGAUUGCGGCAUCAGGCAAACAUACCGUGAAACUGAAUCAUAUGCACUUUUCUUAAGGACCUUAUGCCAUUGUUUCAUGUUAAUUUCCUAUGUUUUUAUUUUUAUUUUAUUUUUAUAUGACCUACUUCCCUUGGUAGACCCUAUGCUCCACCUCUAGGUCUAAGUCCUUCCUCCACCAUCUUCAUACAUUGGAGGAAUGAAUAUUUUGGAUAUGCCUCUCAUCUGUUUUGGAAGAGAAAGAUUUUCAAGAAUUAAAUUUAUAUUUUAAAAUA